GAUGAAGAACGCAGCGAAAUGCGAUAAGUAAUGCGAAUUGCAGAAUUCAGUGAGUCAUCGAAUCUUUGAACGCACAUUGCGCCCUGUGGUAUUCCGCAGGGCAUGCCUGUUCGAGCGUCAUUUCAACCCUCAAGCCCCGCUUGGUGUUGGGCCCCGCCCGCCGUGGCCGGCCCUAAAGACAGUGGCGGCGCCGCCUGGCCCUCAGCGUAGUACAGCUCUCGCUCCAGGGUCCGGCGGCCGCCUGCCAGAACCCCCCCAACUCUGUGGUUGACCUCGGAUCAGGUAGGGAUACCCGCUGAACUUAAGCAUAUCAAUAAGGGAGGA
rnacentral:misc_RNA from 1 species